GUAAGCUACUAAGAGCGAAUGGUGGAUGCCUUGACUGGUAAAGGCGAUGAAGGACGUACUAGACUGCGAUAAGCUACGGGGAGCUGUCAAGAAGCUUUGAUCCGUAGAUUUCCGAAUGGGGCAACCCAAUGUAUAGAGAUAUACAUUACCUAUAUAGGAGCGAACGAGGGGAAUUGAAACAUCUUAGUACCCUCAGGAAAAGAAAUCAAUAGAGAUUGCGUCAGUAGCGGCGAGCGAAAGCGCAAGAGGGCAAACCCAGUGCUUGCACUGGGGGUUGUAGGACUGCAAUGUGCAAGAGGUGAGUUUAGCAGAACAUUCUGGAAAGUAUAGCCAUAGAGGGUGAUAGUCCCGUAUGCGAAAAACAAACCUUAGCUAGCAGUAUCCUGAGUAGGGCGGGACACGAGAAAUCCUGUCUGAAGCCGGGUCGACCACGAUCCAACCCUAAAUACUAAUACCAGAUCGAUAGUGCACAAGUACCGUGAGGGAAAGGUGAAAAGAACUGAGGUGAUCAGAGUGAAAUAGAACCUGAAACCAUUUGCUUACAAUCAUUCAGAGCACUAUGUAGCAAUACAGUGUGAUGGACUGCCUUUUGCAUAAUGAGCCUGCGAGUUGUGGUGUCUGGCAAGGUUAAGCAAACGCGAAGCCGUAGCGAAAGCGAGUCUGAAUAGGGCGCUUAGUCAGAUGCUGCAGACCCGAAACGAAGUGAUCUAUCCAUGAGCAAGUUGAAGCUAGUGUAAGAACUAGUGGAGGACUGAACCCAUAGGCGUUGAAAAGCCCCGGGAUGACUUGUGGAUAGGGGUGAAAGGCCAAUCAAACUUCGUGAUAGCUGGUUCUCUCCGAAAUAUAUUUAGGUAUAGCGUUGUGUCGUAAUAUAAGGGGGUAGAGCACUGAAUGGGCUAGGGCAUACACCAAUGUACCAAACCCUAUCAAACUCCGAAUACCUUAUAUGUAAUCACAGCAGUCAGGCGGCGAGUGAUAAAAUCCGUCGUCAAGAGGGAAACAACCCAGACUACCAGCUAAGGUCCCUAAAUCUUACUUAAGUGGAAAACGAUGUGAAGUUACUUAAACAACCAGGAGGUUGGCUUAGAAGCAGCCAUCCUUUAAAGAAAGCGUAAUAGCUCACUGGUCUAGUGAUUUUGCGCGGAAAAUAUAACGGGGCUAAAGUAAGUACCGAAGCUGUAGACUUGACUUUGUCAAGUGGUAGGAGAGCGUUCUAUUUGCGUCGAAGGUAUACCGGUAAGGAGUGCUGGAGCGAAUAGAAGUGAGCAUGCAGGCAUGAGUAGCGAUAAUUAAUGUGAGAAUCAUUAACGCCGUAAACCCAAGGUUUCCUACGCGAUGCUCGUCAUCGUAGGGUUAGUCGGGUCCUAAGUCGAGUCCGAAAGGGGUAGACGAUGGCAAAUUGGUUAAUAUUCCAAUACCAACAUUAGUGUGCGAUGGAAGGACGCUUAGGGCUAAGGGGGCUAGCGGAUGGAAGUGCUAGUCUAAGGUCGUAGGUGCUUAUACAGGCAAAUCCGUAUAAGAAUACACCGAGAACUGAAAGGCUUUUUGAAGUCUUCGGAUGGAUAGAAGAACCCCUGAUGCCGUCGAGCCAAGAAAAGUUUCUAAGUUUAGCUAAUGUUGCCCGUACCGUAAACCGACACAGGUGGGUGGGAUGAGUAUUCUAAGGCGCGUGGAAGAACUCUCUUUAAGGAACUCUGCAAAAUAGCACCGUAUCUUCGGUAUAAGGUGUGGUUCGCUUCGUAUUAGGAUUUACUCCGAAAGCGAAGAAACUUACAACAAAGAGUCCCUCCCGACUGUUUACCAAAAACACAGCACUCUGCUAACUCGUAAGAGGAUGUAUAGGGUGUGACGCCUGCCCGGUGCUCGAAGGUUAAUUGAUGGGGUUAGCGUAAGCGAAGCUCUUGAUCGAAGCCCGAGUAAACGGCGGCCGUAACUAUAACGGUCCUAAGGUAGCGAAAUUCCUUGUCGGUUAAAUACCGACCUGCAUGAAUGGCGUAACGAGAUGGGAGCUGUCUCAAAGAGGGAUCCAGUGAAAUUGUAGUGGAGGUGAAAAUUCCUCCUACCCGCGGCAAGACGGAAAGACCCCGUGGACCUUUACUACAGCUUGACACUGCUACUUGGAUAAGAAUGUGCAGGAUAGGUGGGAGGCUUUGAGUAUAUGACGCCAGUUGUAUAUGAGCCAUUGUUGAGAUACCACUCUUUCUUAUUUGGGUAGCUAACCAGCUUGAGUUAUCCUCAAGUGGGACAAUGUCUGGUGGGUAGUUUGACUGGGGCGGUCGCCUCCCAAAUAAUAACGGAGGCUUACAAAGGUUGGCUCAGAACGGUUGGAAAUCGUUCGUAGAGUAUAAAGGUAUAAGCCAGCUUAACUGCAAGACAUACAAGUCAAGCAGAGACGAAAGUCGGUCUUAGUGAUCCGGUGGUUCUGUGUGGAAGGGCCAUCGCUCAAAGGAUAAAAGGUACCCCGGGGAUAACAGGCUGAUCUCCCCCAAGAGCUCACAUCGACGGGGAGGUUUGGCACCUCGAUGUCGGCUCAUCGCAUCCUGGGGCUGGAGCAGGUCCCAAGGGUAUGGCUGUUCGCCAUUUAAAGCGGUACGCGAGCUGGGUUCAGAACGUCGUGAGACAGUUCGGUCCCUAUCUGCCGUGGGCGUAAGAAGAUUGAAGAGAUUUGACCCUAGUACGAGAGGACCGGGUUGAACAAACCACUGGUGUAGCUGUUGUUCUGCCAAGAGCAUCGCAGCGUAGCUAAGUUUGGAAAGGAUAAACGCUGAAAGCAUCUAAGCGUGAAGCCAACUCUAAGAUGAAUCUUCUCUAAGCUCUCUAGAAGACUACUAGUUUGAUAGGCUGGGUGUGUAAUGGAUGAAAGUCCUUUAGCUGACCAGUACUAAUAGAGCGUUUGGCUUAUCUUUA
rnacentral:rRNA from 1 species